UUUGUAGGAGUACUGCGGAAAGAAAAACCAUGUUGAUUGUUUCUGAUUUUUUCUUUGUAGGGGUAAAAUCAUGACAACUUGACAUGGGCAGUU
ensembl:snoRNA